rnacentral:lncRNA from 11 species
CGCAUUUUGGUACACAAGCAGUCACUGUCAAACUCGAAUCCAGAAAAAAGACUUUGGCCUUGCUUUUGCACUGGCUGCCGUUGUGCUGAUCAGCACCAUCCUGGCCAUCUUCCUCUUCAGGGCCAAACGGAGGAAGUCUGCAUCUACUAGUGAGUCUGAUAAAGAUGCAAUCUGGUGCGAAGAUGAUGAGGAGGCAACAUGGGUCCCCCCUGGAGGUAUAAGCAUCAUAAAUGAAGCAGCCUGGGAUGGAAGCCACAAGAUAAGCAAGGUUUUCCAACCUUCACUUGAAAAAAUUGAUACCUCACUAAAGCUACAGUUCCCGAAGCCAGCAGCAGUAACUCCACCAUCCAGGACCCCAUUCUAGACACUUCUUUUGGUUGGCUGAAAUAUACAUUGGAUUCUGAUGCACUCUAAAAAGAAAUUGUCUGGCUUGAAGACUGGUGGGGAUGAUAGGAUUAAUCUCAACUAUUUUCUUUUGAUUCCUCUGGGACAUCUUUGCUAGACAAAACAAAUCACUAGUCUGUUAACAAGAUAUUGAACUAAUAAAAUCUAUGGAAAUUUAUAUAAACACAAUCCAUGCCUUCUCUGCUUUUUCAUCAAUGCUCUGCCUCUCACAACUCAAUUACAGUAGAGUUCCGGUUAUCCGACUUAAACGAGUGGGCCGAAUGUUGGAUAACCGGAUGUGUUGGGAGGCCUGGCGGCACGUUGGAUAAUAUGGAGUGUUAGAUAAGCGGAAGACUCUACUGCAGUAACUUUUAUCACAUUUCUUUACUCUGCCUUGUUCUUCGUAGCACAAAUGGCAUAUGUCCUCCAUUUAUUGUUUUCUUUCUUUCUUCUCAUGUUCUACUUCAUUUGUUUGAAAGGUUAAUUCAAAUUAUCAACGUGAAAAUUAAUCAGCUAAUUAGGCAAACAUCAAUUCAUGAGUGUGAUUUUUAAAAAGUUUGAAACAGGCAAGUAUCUGAUGCCUCAUUAGGCAAUGUACAGUUGAAUCACCUUGAUUUUGUCACAGAACCAAAUAAUGCUCUCAGGGUCUUAUUUGCGCAUUGUUGUUAAUAAACUCAAUAAAAGGAAACGAUUCCUCAGUAAACAAUACUUAUCUCCUUUAUUCUUUUUGCAACAGUGCAGCACUUAGGGAGGCAAAUGCCCAAGCCCAAAGAAAGGAAGAGAAGUCUGAAAGAACACAAUGGGAUAGAGAGGAUUAAUAGACUGAUGCAAUAGCAUUUUAAAUGGUAUUUUCUUUUUUAUGCUAGUUUUUAGCAAAAUAUUGAAAUGGACAGAGAAAUAUUUGUUAUUAUCCCUAACGGUAACAUU